rnacentral:rRNA from 1 species
GACGAACGCUGGCGGCGUGCUUAACACAUGCAAGUCACGGGGGUCCCGCAAGGGAUAACCGGCGAACGGGUGCGUAACACGUGAACAACCUGCCCUCGUGUGGGGGAUAGCCAUGCUAACGCGUGGGUAAUACCGCAUACGGUCCUUUGGGGGAGUCCCCUGGGGGAAGAAAGCUCCGGCGCACGGGGAGGGGUUCGCGGCCUAUCA